rnacentral:rRNA from 1 species
UUCGGUCCCUAUCUGUUGUGGGCGUUGGAAAUUUGAGAGGACCUGCUGCUAGUACGAGAGGACCGCGGUGGACACACCUCUGGUGAAUCUGUUGUGGCGCCAGCUGCAUUGCAGAGUAGCUACGUGUGGACGGGAUAAGCGCUGAAAGCAUCUAAGCGCGAAGCCUACCUCAAGAUGAGAUUUCCUUUGAGGGCCGUAGUAGACUACUACGUUGAUAGGCUACAGGUGUAAAGGCGGUAAUGUCAAAGCCGAGUAGUACUAAUUGCCCGAAGACUUUCGCUA